UGGCUCAGUGGUUAAGAGCACUGACUGCUCUUCCAGAGUACCUGGGUUCAAUUCCCAG
rnacentral:tRNA from 1 species